rnacentral:rRNA from 1 species
AACGAACGCUGGCGGCAUGCCUAACACAUGCAAGUCGAACGAGACCUUCGGGUCUAGUGGCGCACGGGUGCGUAACGCGUGGGAACCUGCCCUUAGGUUCGGAAUAACUCCCCGAAAGGGGUGCUAAUACCGGAUAAUGUCUCCGGACCAAAGAUUUAUCGCCUUUGGAUGGGCCCGCGUUGGAUUAGCUAGUUGGUAGGGUAAAAGCCUACCAAGGCGACGAUCCAUAGCUGGUCUGAGAGGAUGAUCAGCCACACUGGGACUGAGACGCGGCCCAGACUCCUACGGGAGGCAGCAGUGGGGAAUAUUGGACAAUGGGCGAAAGCCUGAUCCAGCAAUGCCGCGUGAGUGAUGAAGGCCUUAGGGUUGUAAAGCUCUUUUACCCGGGAUGAUAAUGACAGUACCGGGAGAAUAAGCUCCGGCUAACUCCGUG